rnacentral:rRNA from 3 species
UACCAGCACCCCGAGUGGUCGGGACGAUUAUUGGGCCUAAAGCAUCCGUAGCCGGUUCUACAAGUCUUCCGUUAAAUCCACCUGCUCAACAGUUGGGCUGCGGAGGAUACUAUAGAGCUAGGAGGCGGGAGAGGCAAGCGGUACUCAGUGGGUAGGGGUAAAAUCCGUUGAUCCAUUGAAGACCACCAGUGGCGAAGGCGGCUUGCCAGAACGCACUCGACGGUGAGGGAUGAAAGCUGGGGGAGCAAACCGG